UACGUAGGGUGCGAGCGUUAAUCGGAAUUACUGGGCGUAAAGCGUGCGCAGGCGGUUCGUUGUGUCGGCGGUGAAAUCCCCGGGCUUAACCUGGGAAUUGCGCUUGAAACUAGCGGGCUUGAGUGUGGCAGAGGGGGGUGGAAUUCCACGUGUAGCAGUGAAAUGCGUAGAGAUGUGGAGGAACACCGAUGGCGAAGGCAGCCCCCUGGGUCAACACUGACGCUCAUGCACGAAAGCGUGGGGAGCAAACAGG
rnacentral:rRNA from 1 species